UGUCAGGGGGCUAUAUCGAGUAUGGUUGCCAUAAUAAUGGUUGCCUCGCGAAUUGGAAAUGCUUUGCCGAAUCCCAGGAUAUCGCCAAGUGUGCCAUAUCGUCAUAAUCGUUUUUCUCCUUAAGAUGGUUACCAAUGUGCAGUUGAAUUCUAAAAGGUUUUGUUUGAUAUGCUAUAUUUAAAGAACCGACGUUGGCACCAGCUUGAUGGGAAAAAGUCAUUUCCAAUGUGGGCACAGGGAAACUUGGAUUUAUUUGGUGAUAGUCAGAUGGUUUUCCUGAAGUUGCAGUUUGAAAUAACCUUUCAAAGCCUAAACUCAUCUUCGUAGAAAGGGACUUGUGAAAAGUAACACUGGCUCUGUAAAUGUUCUUGGUUUGGGGCAAGACGUUGAAUAAAUUGUGAUGAUUGGAUGGACAACAUGGAAUUCCUACACUUUACUCAUAUUCCCCAAAUGGUAUUUAAAAUUCAAAAAUUGAAGUGCAUAUCUGGGCUCCCUUCCUUUCCGUAGCCCCGUUUCCC